ACUAAUAUAGUUUAAAUAAAAACAUUAAUUUUGUAAAUUAAAAAUAUUUUAAUUUAAAUUAAUAGUU
rnacentral:tRNA from 1 species